CAAAAAAAGCCAACAAGGCCAUAUUGAACUCCCUAAGAUUAGGGACUCCCAUACCCCUAUGAAUAACUACCGUAUCAUGUUAAAUGGUACGAUAAGAUUGAACUCCCUAAGAUUAGGGACUCCCAUACCCCCACGAAUAACUCCCUAAGAGUAGUAACAUAUACUCGGGAAUAGCAAACAUGCUGAUAUGGCAGAAAAUUAAAGAAGAAAGAGAAGGUUAGAGUAACUACCGUAUCAUGUUAAAUGCAAUGCUACUUUGUGUCAUGCAUGGCAACAAAUAAGAUCAUCUAUGAUACAAGUUUAUGAUACUACUAUGCACUAUAAAGUGUUACUCCCCACUAUGACCAACCUUAGAGAUUGAAGAGCGGCUCCAUGCUUUCAAACUUUUUACCUUCUGCGCAUGUGUGACUGUAUGCGCAUGACUGUGGCAACUACUACUGCCAUGUCCGUAUUUACUACUCCCUCCGUUUCAAAAUUCUUGUCUUAGAUUUGUCUAGAUAUGAAUGUACCUAGUCAUGUUUUAGUAUUUUGAUACAUCCAUUUCUAGACAAACCUAAGACAAGAAUUUUAAGACGCAGGGAGUACUUCGGUAUACAAUAACGCAUCGGCAGCUACCGUACGGUACAUAUUACUCUUCAUUUAUCAUAUUUUGCAUUAAAAUUUGACUACAUAUUUAACUUGUAAAAUAUUAUUGCAUGUCAAAAAAAUAUUAUGCUCAUCCUACGGGUUUCAAAAAUCUCGUCAAUCAAGAUUGUUUAUAUACGGUGAACACUAAACGGCUAAGAGCAAUUCUAGGAGACCCUUAAAUCGCCCCGACCUGUAAAAUAAUCACUUGUUUACAGUUUUAGACAAAAAAAAGACCCAAACAUAAACUUAAAAGUGUCUGACCCGAUUUUUUUUUAAGGACAUGGAAAAUCCCCCCUCCGACCCGCAAAAAUACACUUCCCCCUCCCCCAUCCGUCGGCGCCUUCUAUAUAUAUAUAUAUAUCCCGCAGAAGCGGAUGGCGGGAGGGACAUUUCAGCUCGCGCGCUCGCAACAUCCCCUCCUGCAGACGCUCAUCACCGUCGCUGUCGGUGGCCGCCUGCAAUUCCAGUCAUCUCGGCGAGCGGAAUCGCGCCGCUCGCCCUUGAUCUGGCGAGCCGAGCCACUGCGCCGCCGCCGCCGCCCCGAAUAGGCCGCCUCCAGCCGCUGGGCGCACCGGACGCCCGCCCCAGAUUCGCCGAACCGCCACUGUUGCCGCCGCCCUGUUUUUGAUGGAUUUGAGCCCGUGCGGGCAAUUUUUUCUUGAUGAUUCAUCCUCGUCAGACGACUCGAGCGUGGAAUCAAUUCUCAAGCGCUAUCGUCAACACAUGGUCGUGGCGAUCCUAGCCGUGAAGGAGGAGGAGGAUCGAAACUGUAAAAGACGGCGAGCACCAUUUGGCAAAGACAUCGGCCUAUUUUACAUUCAUUUCAUUUAAUUCAUGUGUGAUCGGUAUCAUUGAUGUAUUCGAAACAAUUGUUGUAAUGAAUUAUUAGUUUUAUUUGGUGAUUUGAAUAAUCAUUGUAAUUUUGAUACAUAAUGUUCCCAUUUUAUCUUAUUUGAGAUAUGUGUAGCUCUGAAA